rnacentral:rRNA from 1 species
UACCGUAAACCUAAAAAAUUUGGCGGCUUUUGAUGUAAUAAGAGGAGCUUGUAAUAUAAACGACGAUACACGAUAACCUUACCCAAACUAAAUAGUUUGUAUACCGCCAUCCAGAUAAUACCAAAAGGUCUUCUCUUCUUAUAUUAAUCUAAAAGGUUAGGUCAAGGUGCAGCUCAUACUCGGGUUAUUAUUAGCUACAAUAUAAAAGAUUUUAGAAGAACUGUGCAAGAUUUUUAAAAGAGGAUUUUAGGGUAAUUAUUUAAAAGACUUUUAUAAUGACUCCUUAAACAAAAGUGCACAUAUCGCCCGUCGCUCGCGGGA